AUGGGAACUGGUGAGUGUGAUGCCAAAUGGAUGAGCUCUCCAAGCAGCAGAGACCAGUCAGGUCUCGGACAGAUUCAAAGCCAGCACCCUCCCGCCUCCAACAGAUCUGAGGGGAACCCCUUCUUGUGGCUCCAGCUCCAGACUGAGCAGCUGUGUACCAGGAAAGGACAUUCAGAGCAAGGCAGCCUCUACCCAGACCACUGGGAGUUUUCAUCAAAGGGAAAGAAGACAAGGCACAGCGCAGGGGCUGGUUCUCAAGGCUUCCACACAAAGCUGACCCAAUCAUUCUGCUCACGUUUCACAGGCUGGAACAGGUCUCCUGGAGACCUAAGCAUUCAAGAAAUAGGAAAAUGGGGCAGCCGGGGUGGCCCAGUGGUUUAGCGAUGCCUUCAGCCCAGGACCUGAUCCUGGAGACCCGGGAUCGAGUCCCACCUCGGGCUCCCUGCAUGGAGCCUGCUUCUCCCUCUCCUGUGCCUCUGCCUCUCUCUCUGUGUCUCUCAUGAAUAAAUAAAUAAAAUAUUAAAAAAAAAAGAAAUAA
rnacentral:lncRNA from 12 species